rnacentral:tRNA from 1 species
GGGGUAGUAGCUCAGUUGGUUAGAGCACUCGCUUGUCACGCGAGAGGUCGCGGGUUCGAGUCCCGUCUACCCCG